rnacentral:misc_RNA from 1 species
GAAUAUAACUGUUACGCAUAUUAUAUUUUUCAAGUAGAAAAAAAUCAAUAUGCCUAAGUAACGCACGCGUCUACCAAACAAUCGUUACGAAACGCGUGUACAAAGGUCUUUGCUCCUCCGGUCAGUACACAGGCUCGCGAGCAGCGAGAUAGGCCAGACAGUUUCAUGGCAAAAUAAGAGGACGCGCCUUCAUUGGCUUUAAUGGGAUGGCAAAUAGGCGGGCAGGAAAUUUGCGCUUUUGAAGGCACCUUCGUGCGCACGAGAUAGCACCGCGCAAGAGGGCACGCAGGAAAUUCUAAGCAAGAUGGCCGCGACGAGAUUCCACUGAUUCAAUAGAAACUAUUUGCACUGCCAUUAGACGGUCCGUUGGUGUUGGUUGGGCGCCGUGGCCUGUAAACACGGCCACACAAGAAUCGAAACGAACUUCGCGCCAGAGAGAGAUAAGGAGACAGGCAAAAUAUUGUCGAACCUUGAAGUUUUCACAGCGGGAUGAAAGAGAACGAAGAAACUUGCAGAGGUUUUCGAGUUACCGAGGUUCGACUAUACAGCAAACAGGACAAGAGAGAGAGAAAGAGAGAGAGAGAGAGAGAGGAGUAAAAAAAAGAAGAAAAA